CAGAGGUCCCGAGCGUUGUUCGGAUUCACUGGGCGUAAAGGGUGCGUAGGUGGCGUGGUAAGUUUGAUGUGAAAGCUCAGGGCUUAACCCUGAAAUGGCAUUGAAUACUACUGUGCUGGAGGUUUGGAGGGGGGACUGGAAUUCUUGGUGUAGCAGUGAAAUGCGUAGAUAUCAAGAGGAACACCAGUGGCGAAGGCGAGUCCCUGGACAACACCUGACACUGAGGCACGAAAGCUAGGGGAGCAAACGGG
rnacentral:rRNA from 1 species